AAUUAGAGGAACAAUUUCCGGAUCUCGAUGCAUUGGUCGUAUGGUAAUUGGGAACAAUAA
rnacentral:tRNA from 1 species